rnacentral:rRNA from 1 species
ACUACGGGUGGCAGCAGUGGGGGAUAUUGCACAAUGGGGGAAACCCUGAUGCAGCGACGCCGCGUGUGGGAAGACGGUCCUCUGGAUUGUAAACCACUGUCCCCAGGGACGAAGAUGACGGUACCUGGGGAGGAAGCUCCGGCUAACUACGUGCCAGCAGCCGCGGUAAUACGUAGGGAGCGAGCGUUGUCCGGAAUUACUGGGUGUAAAGGGAGCGUAGGCGGGACUGCAAGUUGGGUGUCAAAUCUACCGGCUCAACCGGUAGCCGCACUCAAAACUGCAGUUCUUGAGUGAAGUAGAGGCAGGCGGAAUUCCUAGUGUAGCGGUGAAAUGCGUAGAUAUUAGGAGGAACACCAGUGGCGAAGGCGGCCUGCUGGGCUUUUACUGACGCUGAGGCUCGAAAGUGUGGGGAGCAAACAGGAUUAGAUACCCUAGUAGUC